CUGGAAGGUACUGCAAUAAUUCCAGUUCCACUCUCCCUUUCUUGGGGAUUGCCUACUGAGGGUCUCAAGCCAUCAGUGAGCCCCCUCUCCUUCUCCCAA